rnacentral:rRNA from 1 species
AUUGAACGCUGGCGGAAUGCUUUACACAUGCAAGUCGAACGGCAGCACGGACUUCGGUCUGGUGGCGAGUGGCGAACGGGUGAGUAAUAUAUCGGAACGUGCCCAGUCGUGGGGGAUAACGUAGUGAAAAUUACGCUAAUACCGCAUACGAUCUAUGGAUGAAAGCGGGGGAUCGCAAGACCUCGCGCGAGUGGAGCGGCCGAUAUCAUAUUAGGUAGUUGGUGAGGUAAAGGCUCACCAAGCCGACGAUCUGUAGCUGGUCUGAGAGGCCGACCAGCCACACUGGAACUGAGACACGGUCCAGACUCCUACGGGAGGCAGCAGUGGGGAAUUUUGGACAAUGGACGCAAGUCUGAUCCAGCCAUUCCGCGUGCAGGACGAAGGCCUUCGGGUUGUAAACUGCUUUUGUACAGAACGAAAAGGUCUCUAUUAAUACUAGGGGCUCAUGACGGUACUGUAAGAAUAAGCACCGGCUAACUACGUGCCAGCAGCCGCCGUAA